GAAUAAUUCUGACUCAACCCAACAAGGAUCGUGAAUCCAAAAAUAAUCCUAAUGAGUUCUCACAAUUGACCAGUGAUGCCUAGCAACAUAUAGUAACAACCCAGUAGAAUAAAAAAAUAUGAAUUCUUAGGUACAAUUACUAUGUGAUUCAGUCUCCCUAUCGUGAGUCCCAACUUGAUGGAGGUUACGAAGAACUCAUCAAACCUCAUCGUCAGUCAUAUGUCAGAUUGGCUCAACUCGAGUUCAUUUGUAAAUCUUAUAAAAUUUUUUUUUAGCAUUCACACUAACUU
rnacentral:lncRNA from 1 species